UUUAUUCAUCCUCUCUGAGAGAGUCUGGUCCUUUGGUAGGUUUAUUCAUCCUCUCUGAGACCGUCUGGUCCUUUGGUAGGUUUAUUCAUCCUCUCUGAGAGAGUCUGGUCCUUUGGUAGGUUUAUUCAUCCACUCUGAGAGAGUCUGGUCCUUUGGUAGGUUUAUUCAUCCUCUCUGAGACCGUCUGGUCCUUUGGUAGGUUUAUUCAUCCUCUCUGAGACCGUCUGGUCCUUUGGUAGGUUUAUUCAUCCUCUCUGAGAGAGUCUGGUCCUUUGGUAGGUUUAUUCAUCCUCUCUGAGAGAGUCUGGUCCUUUGGUAGGUUUAUUCAUCCUCUCUGAGACCGUCUGGUCCUUUGGUAGGUUUAUUCAUCCUCUCUGAGACCGUCUGGUCCUUUGGUAGGUUUAUUCAUCCUCUCUGAGAGAGUCUGGUCCUUUGGUAGGUUUAUUCAUCCUCUCUGAGAGAGUCUGGUCCUUUGGUAGGUUUAUUCAUCCUCUCUGAGACCGUUUGGUCCUUUGGUAGGUUUAUUCAUCCUCUCUGAGACCGUUUGGUUCUUUGGUAGGUUUAUUCAUCCUCUCUGAGACCGUCUGGUCCUUUGGUAGGUUUAUUGAUCUUCACUGAGACCGUUUGGUUCUUUGGUAGGUUUAUUCAUCCUCUCUGAGACCGUUUGGUCCUUUGGUAGGUUUAUUCAUCCUCUCUGAGACCGUUUGGUCCUUUGAUAGGUUUAUUCAUCCUCUCUGAGACCGUUUGGUCCUUUGGUAGGUUUAUUCAUCCUCUCUGAGACCGUUUGGUCCUUUGGUAGGUUUAUUCAUCCUCUCUGAGACCGUCUGGUCCUUUGGUAGGUUUAUUCAUCCUCUCUGAGACCGUCUGGUCCUUUGGUAGGUUUAUUCAUCCUCUCUGAGACCGUCUGGUCCUUUGGUAGGUUUAUUCAUCCUCUCUGAGACUGUUUGGUCCUUUGGUAGGUUUAUUCAUCCUCUCUGAGACCGUCUGGUCCUUUGGUAGGUUUAUUCAUCCUCUCUGAGAGAGUCUGGUCCUUUGGUAGGUUUAUUCAUCCUCUCUGAGACCGUCUGGUCCUUUGGUAGGUUUAUUCAUCCUCUCUGAGAGAGUCUGGUCCUUUGGUAGGUUUAUUCAUCCUCUCUGAGACCGUCUGGUCCUUUGGUAGGUUUAUUCAUCCUCUCUGAAACCGUCUGGUCCUUUGGUAGGUUUACUUGUUUCUCUGUGAGACCGUCUGGUCCUUUGGUAGGUUUAUUCAUCCUCUCUGAGAGAGUCUGGUCCUUUGGUAGGUUUAUUCAUCCUCUCUGAGACCGUCUGGUCCUUUGGUAGGUUUAUUCAUCCUCUCUGAAACCGUCUGGUCCUUUGGUAGGUUUAUUUGUUUCUCUGUGAGACUGUUGUCAGACACUGAGCUUCUUCAAAUUCUAAACCGUUAUCAUAUUAGAGGUAUGAUGAAUGAAUGUUGAAUCUCCUCUCCUCCCCUUCUCCCCACUCCUUUUCUCCUGCCCUCCUCCUCCCCUCUACUCCCCCUUCUCGCCUCUCCUCUCCUCCAGGUGUGUUUAUGUGGGAGGUGUAUACUGAGGGGCGUCUGCCCUAUGAGAACCGGUCUAAUCUUGAGGUGGUGGAGGCCCUGAAUGCAGAAACCAGACGACCGUCCUUCCUUUGCUCUCCUGCUGCACGAGCUGGCCUUGCUCUCAGACCUCUGAGCCUGAACAAACAAGCUUUUCAGCCAAACUGAAGAUACUGUAUGAAAUAUACUUAGCUAGCUGUGUUUAUGUUAUUUAUUAAUUUCCUUCAAGUUUCUAUUUAUUUUGUAGCAAAUCAAUUUUUUAUAAAAUGUAGA